rnacentral:rRNA from 1 species
GGAGGGGUGCAAACGUUGCUCGGAUUUACUGGGCGUAAAGCGCAUGCAGGCGGACUGCUAAGUUUCGUGUGAAAGCCCUGGGCUUAACCCAGGAAGUGCACGGAAAACUGGCAGACUAGAGUACUAGAGAAGUGGACGGAAUUCCCGGUGUAGAGGUGAAAUUCGUAGAUAUCGGGAGGAACACCAGUAGCGAAAGCGGUUCACUGGAUAGAUACUGACGCUCAGAUGCGAAAGCGUGGGGAGCAAACAGGAUUAGAUACCCUGGUAGUCCACGCCGUAAACGAUGGGCACUAGGUGUCGGGGGCUUGACCCCUUCGGCGCCGUAGCUAACGCGUUAAGUGCCCCGCCUGGGGAGUAUGGUCGCAAAGACUAA